rnacentral:rRNA from 1 species
UUUAUGGAGAGUUUGAUCCUGGCUCAGGAUGAACGCUGGCGGCGUGCCUAAUACAUGCAAGUCGAGCGAACGGACGAGAAGCUUGCUUCUCUGAUGUUAGCGGCGGACGGGUGAGUAACACGUGGAUAACCUACCUAUAAGACUGGGAUAACUUCGGGAAACCGGAGCUAAUACCGGAUAAUAUUUUGAACCGCAUGGUUCAAAAGUGAAAGACGGUCUUGCUAUCACUUAUAGAUGGAUCCGCGCUGCAUUAGCUAGUUGGUAAGGUAACGGCUUACCAAGGCAACGAUGCAUAGCCGACCUGAGAGGGUGAUCGGCCACACUGGAACUGAGACACGGUCCAGACUCCUACGGGAGGCAGCAGUAGGGAAUCUUCCGCAAUGGGCGAAAGCCUGACGGAGCAACGCCGCGUGAGUGAUGAAGGUCUUCGGAUCGUAAAACUCUGUUAUUAGGGAAGAACAUAUGUGUAAGUAACUGUGCACAUCUUGACGGUACCUAAUCAGAAAGCCACGGCUAACUACGUGCCAGCAGCCGCGGUAAUACGUAGGUGGCAAGCGUUAUCCGGAAUUAUUGGGCGUAAAGCGCGCGUAGGCGGUUUUUUAAGUCUGAUGUGAAAGCCCACGGCUCAACCGUGGAGGGUCAUUGGAAACUGGAAAACUUGAGUGCAGAAGAGGAAAGUGGAAUUCCAUGUGUAGCGGUGAAAUGCGCAGAGAUAUGGAGGAACACCAGUGGCGAAGGCGACUUUCUGGUCUGUAACUGACGCUGAUGUGCGAAAGCGUGGGGAUCAAACAGGAUUAGAUACCCUGGUAGUCCACGCCGUAAACGAUGAGUGCUAAGUGUUAGGGGGUUUCCGCCCCUUAGUGCUGCAGCUAACGCAUUAAGCACUCCGCCUGGGGAGUACGACCGCAAGGUUGAAACUCAAAGGAAUUGACGGGGACCCGCACAAGCGGUGGAGCAUGUGGUUUAAUUCGAAGCAACGCGAAGAACCUUACCAAAUCUUGACAUCCUUUGACAACUCUAGAGAUAGAGCCUUCCCCUUCGGGGGACAAAGUGACAGGUGGUGCAUGGUUGUCGUCAGCUCGUGUCGUGAGAUGUUGGGUUAAGUCCCGCAACGAGCGCAACCCUUAAGCUUAGUUGCCAUCAUUAAGUUGGGCACUCUAAGUUGACUGCCGGUGACAAACCGGAGGAAGGUGGGGAUGACGUCAAAUCAUCAUGCCCCUUAUGAUUUGGGCUACACACGUGCUACAAUGGACAAUACAAAGGGCAGCGAAACCGCGAGGUCAAGCAAAUCCCAUAAAGUUGUUCUCAGUUCGGAUUGUAGUCUGCAACUCGACUACAUGAAGCUGGAAUCGCUAGUAAUCGUAGAUCAGCAUGCUACGGUGAAUACGUUCCCGGGUCUUGUACACACCGCCCGUCACACCACGAGAGUUUGUAACACCCGAAGCCGGUGGAGUAACCUUUUAGGAGCUAGCCGUCGAAGGUGGGACAAAUGAUUGGGGUGAAGUCGUAACAAGGUAGCCGUAUCGGAAGGUGCGGCUGGAUCACCUCCUUUCU